CUCUCUGCACUACAGAAGCCUGCCUACUCCCCAGUAUCUUCCCCACUGGUUAUUAUUAUUCAACGCAGGAAGAAGAGACCACUCACCCGUAAUUUCAACAGCAACAAAAGACCUGAGGUUCCACCAUCAGAACUUCACGCCCUAAGGAAGAUGCAGCAUUUCCUGUAAAAUGCAAGUGCUCCCAGGCAGAGAAACCCUGGGCCCCUUCCCCAGCUGUCAUGAAGGUGCCUGAGUGAUGGUCAGAGAGAUGACCGGAGAGGCCCACCCGGCCACCGCAGCAGCAGCAGCCAAGGCGGGACUAAGCCUCCACACCCCACAUCUCAUUCGUGGCCAGCCCGGGAUGCCUGCCUCUCCUGCCCUGUGGUGUUGCUGUCCUCAUAUGACCCUUCAGCCCCCGACAUCUGGACAGGCUUUAGGGACCUGCUUGAGCAGAACAUGGUAGAAGUGAUGGACUGGGGCUUCUGAGGCUAAGCCAUAAGAAACCUUGAGAAUUUCACUGGGCCCUCACUGUCUCUGGGAGCCCUGAGCCAUGAUAGAAGAAGUCCUUCCUAUAUUGAAUGUCCUUGAGACCUCCAGUACUGGAAAGGGCAUGUGUAGAUGCUCAGACCAACAGUCCAAACUGAGCCCAGUCUGCCAUCUUGCCCUGCCAAGGUGUCAGAUGCAUAUGUGAAUGAGACCAUCCUAGACCUGCUGAUAGCCCAUCACCCGGCUGACUGCUACUGAGUAACCUCUGCCAACUUCACGCCG
rnacentral:lncRNA from 1 species